CUCUCUGUGGCUUAGUGGGUCAAUGUGACUGGUUGUUAACCGGAAGGUUGGUGGUUCAAGCCCACCCAGGGAUG